rnacentral:sRNA from 1 species
UAAGAUCAGUAAUUUUAAGCUGCCGCCU